UCAGCUGUGUUGUCAAGUAAACCAGGAACCAAACGUAAGCGAAGUGGUGCGUUGGCAAGUCCAGAGAAAUUUGGAGCAAAGUACAAUAAAACUGAGAAUCCUGUGGUUUUAGGAGCGCACAGACGCAGCGGGACGGUGCGUAAUGCAGACAUAUCUCCACUGAACAGCGUUUACUCUUGAUAAGGUUUACAGAUCAGAACCAUGGGGAAGAAAGAUGCAAGUGCCACAAAGUUACCAGUGGAUCAGUACAGAAAACAGAUUGGUAAACAAGACUACAAAAAGACAAAGUCAUUCCUCAAGGCCACGCGGCUGAAAGCUGAAGCCAAGAAAAGUUCAUCUGGAUUAAGGAUUUGUAUGCUGGGGGAAUGUGGCAGAUGCUACAACAGGCUGUCCUGGGGCUGUCCAGUCUGGAGAACUUGGCAGAAUACCCCAAAAGACAAAGUUAAAAAAGAAAAUAGAAGUUGUGGAGUGCACAGACGGUAACCUAUGAAUAUCUCCUCAUAUAUUAGCUGUUACUGUGGGUGCACUAAAAUAGUUCUGUUGUUGCCUGAGCGCAUCGUCUAAACCAUGACAUAAGGUCACAGUAGCCAUGAUGAAGUCUGCUGUGGUUUGUUCACUCUCUUCAAAGUAGCUGAGAUGCACAUUCAGGAAACAAACUCGCUCCCUUGUCUAAUUGGCACACUAGCCUUCUGUUCUUUUCGACCCAGUGUUUGGGUUUAAUUUAGUCGCGGGGUUGUGAAAGUUUAAAAAAUACCAGGAGAAGACAGAGACUGCAGAUAAUGAGCAUCCUGGUUUGUAGAUGUUCUGUGUUUAAUGCCAAGCGUAUAGUUCACAUUGACAUAUAUUCAGAAUGUAAGAAUGGGGACACUUGCAGAUAGGGAAAAAAGUUCUCACCAGAAAAGCAUGUCAGGACAACAUUAAUAAAUCUCACAUUUCUCCAAAGUUUAAAAAAUAAACUUGAGGGCACUAACAUUAGCCAGAUUCAGUCGACACUUUCCAUCAACAUUUUCUUAUUUAAAAAAUAAAUUGUUUAAUAAUAUUACCACUUUAGCUUUUGUAUCACAAAAUAGUGACAAUAUAGUCUGCCAAUUUGAGCAAACAUUUAUUUUACUACUUUUAACUACCUUCUGCAAGUUUUUUUUUUUUUUGUUUUUUUUUACCAGUAGAUGGCAGAUGUGAAACCUAUCCCCCCUCCCCUCACCUGGAAUUUGUUCAGACUCACCUGUGCUCUCUGGUCUUCUUCUGUCAGGCCACAGCGGGCACACGAUCACACAGUAGUAACAUAGAUAACAUCUAGUGGUGACAUGUGAGAAUACAACAGGGGUUGAUCGACCAGGCUAUUUACAGUUGUAGCUUUCAAUGGAAAGCUGUAAAGAAGGUCUGAGUAUAGCAAAACGUUGAACAAGAAAAAUAAAAAUACUAAAUAGGUAUAGCAUUGUUGUUGAAGUAUAUUUACAACUUUUGAUUGAUUUCUGUAUUCCUUGAUCAUUCAUAGUGCCCUCUUUUACUCAGUCUCGUCGUAAAACAGUGUGAAAUGUAAGCAAACAUCUGUUCCUGAGCACCAGUAGCUGUAUUAUUGUGACAGUGGUCCGUAGUGUCUCCACCGCCCACACAGCGCCAACAGCACCUCUGAAUUGUGCACAAACAAACCCGCCACGAGGAGAAUAAAAGCUGGACCAGAUGAGCUGCUGUCUGCUGUGCCGUGGCUCGUCGCCAGGGUGACAGAGACCCAGCUCCCAGCAUGCCGAGCGUGUGCUGCAGCUGCCGGUGAUGAAGAGGAUGAUGGGGAUGAAGAUGGUGGAGCUCCAUCAGAAUGUGUGUGAGUGGGAGUCGGCGCGGCGGGCCACUUGAUGUUACCACGAGCUCAAUCAAGUGCAGGUGCUUUCUCCAGCUCAAGUGUUUUCACCCAUUCCCCUCCAGUUUGUUUUCACUGCCACUGUAACCAGCUGUUCUCUCUGUCUCACACAACCAAAGCAAACACACAACUGCAUUGUGCCGUCAGAAGAGCAAGCAUGCAAUACAGGUCAGGAAUGUUGUAAUGGAUGAGAGAUUUUUAGCUAAAACUGAAAGGUGCAUUGUGUAACUUUUCUGGUGGAGGUUCUGUCAAAUGCUUGCCUCCAUGGAGAUGUUAUUGCUUUGUCUGGAAUGUUUCACAGUAUGGCAUUAAACCUUUCUUCAUGGAGACCAAACCAGACCAAGUUACAGGUUAGAUCUGUGGAGAGGCGACUGUCAGAAUGCCUGUUUUGUUUGUUUUGUUUUUGAGCAAUAAAGCCACUUAUAAUUGAUUAAAUGCAAGGUAGAGCUGUUUAAUGUCAUAGUAUGGAACAUUCACGGCUUAGCAAUGACAUAUCAUAGAGCUAUAGGAACAAGUGGAUGACGGAUGCUCCACCAGUGUAAGUCUAGAAUAAUCUAAACAAAGCUAUAUCUACAUGUAUUUAUGCAGAGUGAUGCUCUUGGGCCAUUGUGAACAGCUUCACUCUGGAGGGCAAUAAAUGGCCGCUCUGAGAACAUUUUAAACAGGUGGUCUGCUGCUACUGGGGUACAUUGUCCUUGAGGUAUAUUUAGCCACAGGUGAAAGAAAAGACCACUGCAUAUAGUACCAAGAAAGCAAAUUUAUUUAAUGUUCUUUGUGAAAGCAAAUAUAUACAAUUUCAAUACAUUUAAUUCCAAAAGUCAGUUUAAUGGAGUAUAUGCAACUCAUUCCUACUCAUCUUAUUGUUUUAGCCUCUAUUCAACAAAACUGCACUUACAUACCAACAAUGGCAGAGAUGUCGUCCAUGGAAUCACCAUUGUGUCUGUCGUGUUUUUCAAAGCCUUGAAGAACACAAGAAAAAGAAAACAAUCAGCCUUCUGUGAUUCGAUAACACUUCGUUUUCUCCAAAGCUUCGACAGAAUAGAAAAGUAAAUCAGGCAUUGUGAGCCUAGCGGGUAAUAUAUGAAACUAAAGUGCAUGAAAUUUAAAAGUUUUCCAAUUAAAGCCAGGACUUAAAGCUGUUUGGAGGCUGCUGGGAUGGAGAUAAAUGUGGCGCUCGGGCUAAUGAAGACCAAUGCUGCUGUUGACGAGGCGCUGCUACAACAUGUACACAGACAGAGAUGCCUUUUAAUUGCCACACACACACACACACACACACACACACCUCCAGCCUUCCUGUCAUAGAAUUAUUAUUAUUAUUAUUCUCAGCUCCCCACCACUCUCUUAUCACUUGGUUUGCUCUUUACCAGCAGCAGUGUGGCCUCUGGGUUGAUUCCACAAUCCAAUUAUUCCGAUUCAAUGUUUUUAUUACCUAUUUGUUUCUAUCUGUCAUGGUUCAGAUAACAGAGCUUUCUUUUUUUUCCAGUUUUUAUUUCACCAUUGUAACCUGCUUAGUGAUGUUUCCUACCAGUACAUUAUAAUUAAUUAGGGUUUAUAAUAAGCGCAGGUUUAUCCGCUGGAGUGACUUUGGCUUUGGGUUUUGUGUUGGAAAGGUUAUGUCAUUAAGAGUGGAGGAGGAAAACUUAUAAUGGGAAAAUGGAAAAACAAUAAUGAUGAAAAAUGAAUAAGGAACUAAACAUUAGGAUUCUGUUGUAUGGAAUUCCAGGUGUAAAUUUCUUGGAAAUAAAGGUGUACUCUGUAACUUUCUGGUGGAGAGGAUGCAAAGUAAAGAAAAACCUUGGUGAUGAAGUCAAAUAUGACUUUUGUGAGGUUAUAACUAUUGUAAAUAUAAAUUGCAAUUUUACACUAAUCAAGAAGCAAUUUGUGAAGUAAAGUUGAAAAAUAUGUUGAAAAUUACAGGAAGUAGAGAGGUCUAAACACACUUAUGACAUCAUGUUGGGGAGAAUUCAAUUCAAGAUUUUUUUUUUUUUUUGAUACUUUAAAUAUUAAUUCAACAAAAUAAAGGUGGUUUCUUAUAUUUGUAUUUGUGAGAUAAUAAUUUCUGUGUACAUUAGAGGCGUUUUGCCCAGGUAACAGUUUUGAAAUUUCCUAGUGUGAUGUCAGUUUCCAACCAGGAAGUAAUUUUAUUUUAAACCUAAAAAAUGGCCAAAUUUGGAAAACAAAUGUGGAUGUCUUUGCCAAAAUCUUAAAUAUAAUGAUUUUAACUGUUUUUUAGUAAAAUGAGAAGUCUAACCUGUCAUAGGCACUUUAACCCACUGUCACAACAGCUCUUGUGGCGUGGCCCAGUUUGCACGUUAAAACUGAUCUCAAAUAUUUCUCUUUGAAUACCCUCCAAUCAGUGUGUGCUCUUUCACAGUCCUCCAAGCCCUCCAGUGUUGAUUAGAAAGUUUGUGGCUAAUGACUUCUCUUGAUAAAGAAUAACUGGCAUUGUUCAAUAGUCUGAGUGGGCCUAAUGAAACUCCAGCUGAUGAAGAUUGUAAUCGUGUGAGCACCACAUAAUGAACAAGCGCUCCUAAUUCCCAUUUUACACUUGAAUGCCACUCCUCUGGAAAGCCUCAAUUUGUUUGACAAUUAACCAAUGGCAAUCCAAAAAAUAGGGCAUUUGUUGAGGAAAGUUUAACUUCAGAGUAGAGAUGUUAAAACUGAACAGAUACUAUUACUCAUUAUAUUAUAUGACUUGUUUUUAUUUAUUGUCACUUUUCCUGUAACAGCGAAUGAGAAUUAAUGAAAUAUUUAGAUGUUUUGUUAAACCAGGGUAUACUCACUCAAAUCAAUAUUCCACAAUGAUGGCAUCACUUAAAUAUGCACUAUCUAACUUUUAUUGCAGGAGAGCAGAAAGGGUGGACUUAGAUUUAAGACUUUGAUCCACAAUGGAAAUUAUAGUAGCUCACACAUCACAAUAUGUUACAAUAACAAAGAGCAAGAAUAUAAAUGGUAAUAACAAAUUCAAACUCAAAAUUCUAAAUAAAGGGAAGAGUCAUUUUAGACACAGUAAUAACAUAGUGUAGCCUGAUGCAUCAGCCAGUUUCAUUUUGUGGAAACCAUCUGACCUCGCAGCUUUAGAAUUUGUUUGGUUGACGGUAGGUGGGUACUUUUUUGUUUAAGCAAUCACUGCUAUUUGGUUGUGAUGAAUGUAAUGCACCACUAACAGGGCUAACUGGUAUAUUAAGCUUUUCUCAAAUUCUGUAGGAAGAAGGGCAAUAACGUCUUUCCCAUUGAUAAAAUUCACCAAACAUUCUCUUUGUUCCGGCUUUAAAUCCUCAAUCUCGGGAAUCGUUGCCAACACAGAAUGUAUGGCUCUUUGCUCAUUGGCUGGUGCCCGGACUCACACUUCUGUUGUACUUGCAAACUGUCUAGUGUAUUCUGUUUCCAUAGUACCAUAGUAGAAACAUAGUGCACCUCUGAUUGCAAAUAGAGAGAUUAAUUUUUUCUUACAAAGGCAUUCAUACAUGCAUAGAUUUGUUUUUGCUAAAAAGUGUAAUUUUAUUGUUUUGUUUCUGU